UACCAUGCAGUCGAGCGGAGAUGAGGUGCUUGCACCUUAUCUUAGCGGCGGACGGGUGAGUAAUGCUUAGGAAUCUGCCUAUUAGUGGGGGACAACAUUCCGAAAGGAAUGCUAAUACCGCAUACGUCCUACGGGAGAAAGCAGGGGAUCUUCGGACCUUGCGCUAAUAGAUGAGCCUAAGUCGGAUUAGCUAGUUGGUGGAGUAAAGGCCUACCAAGGCGACGAUCUGUAGCGGGUCUGAGAGGAUGAUCCGCCACACUGGGACUGAGACACGGCCCAGACUCCUACGGGAGGCAGCAGUGGGGAAUAUUGGACAAUGGGGGGAACCCUGAUCCAGCCAUGCCGCGUGUGUGAAGAAGGCCUUAUGGUUGUAAAGCACUUUAAGCGAGGAGGAGGCUACUGAGACUAAUACUCUUGGAUAGUGGACGUUACUCGCAGAAUAAGCACCGGCUAACUCUGUGCCAGCAGCCGCGGUAAUACAGAGGGUGCGAGCGUUAAUCGGAUUUACUGGGCGUAAAGCGUGCGUAGGCGGCUUUUUAAGUCGGAUGUGAAAUCCCCGAGCUUAACUUGGGAAUUGCAUUCGAUACUGGGAAGCUAGAGUAUGGGAGAGGAUGGUAGAAUUCCAGGUGUAGCGGUGAAAUGCGUAGAGAUCUGGAGGAAUACCGAUGGCGAAGGCAGCCAUCUGGCCUAAUACUGACGCUGAGGUACGAAAGCAUGGGGAGCAAACAGGAUUAGAUACCCUGGUAGUCCAUGCCGUAAACGAUGUCUACUAGCCGUUGGGGCCUUUG
rnacentral:rRNA from 1 species